rnacentral:misc_RNA from 1 species
GCAAUUUUUUUUUUUUUUUAGCAAAAUUGUCCUCCUUGCACAAUUGAUUGAGAGAUCUAUUUUUUCUUGUUGAUUUCCAUGUGGGAGGAAGAUUUGGAUUGAACUCGAUUAUGCAAAGAAAGAAACAUGCAAAUGCAUACAUACAUAAAUUAUAUAUAUAUAUGUCAAUUUGGCCAAUAAUACAUGAAUUCCCAAAAUCCAGUUUGUCCGUUCAAGCUGUACAUGCCUUCUGUCGAAAUUAGCCAUAAGCAUUGACUCGCGCACCUGGUGUAAUCCCUUGCAAAGGAAUAGGCGUCAAAAUGAUAUUGCUGUACAUUUUCCCAUUCCAUGUCACAGUAAAAUAAUGUGGUUCCUCCUACAUUGACUGAAAAAUCCCAGCCAAAUUCACCUCCAUCUGGUAUGUUCUGCUGGCCAAGAUCGUCAUCUUUGGAUUGGCAGUGUAUUGUCAAGUUUUUCCCAUUGCCUAAUCUAUUCAUUACACUUGCGUGCACCUUGUCAGAAAGAACCAGGUUGAGCAAGCUGAAUAGCAGGACAAACACCAGAGAAUACCCAAUUCUUCGUGGGGUUUGCAUGUUGCUGGGAAUCACCACUGGCUUGAACAAUUCUGCUUUGGCGAUGAGGAAAGUGGUUGGCAAGUAGGGCGAUUGUUAUUGCUUUAUGUGUCUAAGGCAAGCUUGUUACUGCCUUGCUUGCACAAACAAGGCAAUAAUUUAAGUAUUAUUACAGACAAAAAUGUCGAUCUUAUCAAGCAAAAUUACAAUUUAUGCUGUUGGAAAAAGCAAGGGACUGUAUAUGGCUCCUUGCCUAAGUACAUCUUAAUUGUUGAGCAGCAAGGUUCUGACAUUGGGAUUGUUGGAAUUGUUGAAUUCUUUCAGAUAAAUAAGGACAACUCAAAUGCUAUUAGGAGAGCUGCAAAAAACUAUAAUCCUUGGCGGCAAGGUUAGGAUUACAAGAAACAAAAAUUAAGAUGUAUUUGUGGCUUAUUCAGGUAACUCUUUAUUGUUGAAAUGUCCAAAGCUUUUGAGUUCCUCUUUUUGGAAUGUCGUUGUUGUCCCUUUUUCCCCACUUGAGUGAUGGAGGAUCUAACGGUCUAAAGUCUAACUACAGCAUCCCAUACCCUUGUUAUGUCAGCUACAGCAAGAGAAGCAAUGUCCCUUCCAGAUUUGUGCAUAAAUGAAAAGCAUUCAUUCAGAUAACCGAAAGGAGAUUAACUUUCUCUCUAGGGUUUCUCGUUUCUUCUGAGACAAAGGUCUUUUUUUUUUUCUGCCUAUUUUAGAGGUCAUCCUCUGCCCAUUCAGGUGGGGAAUGGCCCUCCAUGCCCUGCCUGGAAGUGGAUGUCUUUCCCUUCCUUCGGGUGGAGUUGUACAUAGGUUUUGGGUUGAAUUGCUUGUACGUUCGUUGUUCAUGGAUAAGGAUUCUUAAAAACUGCGAUAGUCUUUUGAUGCUACUUAGCAGUGUUUUGCUUGAAUCUUUUGAAACUGGUCUUCUGUUGUCUUCUCUUGGUGUUGAUGUCCAGAGCUAUGCUCGAUUUGAUGCUGAUAACUGCAAAAACCUUGCUUUAGCUUGCAGAAGGGUGCAAAUCUGUUUUAGGCUGUGAGGAUGGUCAUCUCCGGUUUGGCCGCCUGACCCUUGAAAGCUCAGAGGCUAUAGGAGCUUUGGCCAUUGACUUUUCCAUUGAUCAUCAAAGAUGGUGGUUUUUCUGCCUUUUGAGGGGCCUUCUUUGUUUCCAUGGAAGGAUAUUUUCUGGAGGAAGAACCUUCAAUGGCUUUAGGCCUUUGGUGGCGAUUUUUCCAUAUGCGGCGGUGCUGCUUAGCAUAGUCCCUUCCUUCUAGUAGCUCUAGGAUUUGUAUUUGUGGGCCUUGGGCCAAACUUAUAACGUAGAGUUACUUUUGGGCCCCCUUUUUUUAUUAAUUUUUUGAUCUCUGGGUUGCUCUUCCAAAUCCAUGAUUGUAUUUACCCUUUGCAAUGUUAUGAAUAUCUAUUUUCUAUUAUAAAAAAAAG